CCCUUAGACGUUCUGGGCCGCACGCGCGCUACACUGACCAGUGCAACAAGCAUCCGUCCUUGGCCGACAGGCUCGGGCAAUCUUUGAACGCUGGUCGUGAUGGGGAUAGACUUUUGCAAUUUUUGGUCUUCAACGAGGAAUUCCUAGUAAACGCAAGUCAUCAACUUGCAUUGAUUACGUCCCUGCCCUUUGUACACACCGCCCGUCGCACCUACCGAUUGAAUGGUCCGGUGAAGCCUCCGGAUUGGCGUGCACCCUCGGGUGCUGCCGAGAAGUUGGCUAAACCUUACCAUUUAGAGGAAGGUGAAGUCGUAACA
rnacentral:rRNA from 1 species